CCGUAGUGGCGCACGGGUGCGUAACGCGUGGGAAUCUGCCCUUAGGUACGGAAUAACUCAGAGAAAUUUGUGCUAAUACCGUAUGAUGUCGAAAGACCAAAGAUUUAUCGCCUAAGGAUGAGCCCGCGUAAGAUUAGCUUGUUGGUGAGGUAAAAGCUCACCAAGGCGACGAUCUUUAGCUGGUCUGAGAGGAUGAUCAGCCACACUGGGACUGAGACACGGCCCAG
rnacentral:rRNA from 1 species